UGGGCGUACGGGCUACCACGACAACGAACGGCAGCUGGCCUGAGAGGAUGACCAGCCACACUGCAACUGACACACAGUCCCGACUCCUACUGGAAGCAACACUGGGGAAUAUUGGACAAUGGCGGCAACCCUGAUCCAGCCAUGCCGCGUGUGUGAACAACGCCUGAGGGUUGCAAAGCACUUUCAGUGGGGAGGAGGGUGGAUAAGUCCAGAGAUAACUACAUGCUCGACAUUCCAAUGCAACUGCCCGGCGCGCCCACCCCGCUCAUGCACGGCCUGGGUUACGGGGAGAGCUAAACUCGUAAUUACUGGGCGUAAAGGGUGCGUACGUGGUUGAUUAAAUUAUCUGUGAGAUUCCUGGGCUUAACCUGGGACGGCCAGAUAAUACUGGUAGACUCUAGUAUGGGAGAGGGUAGUGGAAUUUCCGGUGUCGCGGUGACCUGCGUAGAGAUCGGAAGGAACACCAGUGGCGAACGCGGCUACCUGGCCGAGUACUGAUUCUGACGAACUAAAGCGUGGCGCAGGAUCAGGAGUAGAUACCCUGGUACUCCACGCUGUUUACAAUGAAAACUAGCUGUUGGUUAUAUGAUAAUAAUUAUUGGCGCAGCACACGCGACCACUUGACCGCCCGGGGAGUACGGGCGCAAGAUUAAAACCCCCAUGAAUUGACGGCGGCCCGCACAGGCGGUGGACGCUGCGUUUUUUUUAAUAGCAUCCGAAUAACCUUCCCUACCCCUGACACACCCCGCAUUAGCAGAGAGGCAUUAUUGCCUUCUGGAGCGCCAUAGAGGCGCUGCAUGGGUGUC
rnacentral:rRNA from 1 species